CGCUGCUUCGGCCAUUGCCUUUCCUCCCACCUGUCACGCAAACCCUUUGAGGCCUUGGUAGUGGACUACGCCGCGACCUGGUCCACGGAGAGAUAACGCCAUGGUGGCUCGCAGGUUCUUAGUCCGGCAGGUCCCCGCCGACGAGGAGCACACGGUCGAGUACGACACGGAGGACGGACUCGACGUCCUCCGGUUUCAGAUCUUCUCGCUCACCUCCGUCCCGCCCGACCUCCAGAAGAUCGUAGUGGAAGCGGAUGGCUCCGUGGUCGACGACGGCACCGACCUCGAGUCAAUCCCCGAGGGCCUGUGCCUCAUGUCCAUUGACGAGGGGGAGGACGCGGACGCGGCUUCGGCGUUGGCGACGGCGCAGGAGAAGUCCGAUGAGGAACUGGCGAGGUUGAUUGAGAUCGAGGUGGAGGCGGAUGGCUCCGUGGUCGACGACGGCACCGACCUCGAGUCCAUUUCUGAGGUCCUCCGCCUCGUCCCCAUCGGCGAGGGGGAUGACGUGGAUGCAGCGGCGGCUGCAGCUGCGAGGGCGCAGGAGAAGUCCGACGAGGAGCUCGCGAGGAUGAUUCAGGCGGAAGAAGAGGCACUUCUACUGCAACAGUACAGCAUACAAAGUGACGGAGGAGAGGUUUUCAGAGAAAGAGUUGAGCCAUACAUGCGCCAGGUUCUGAAGUACGAGGAUCCGUUGCGUCAGGAAGCAGCUCUGAAGACGGUUCCUGUAGAUGAACUUAAGGAGAAGGCGCUGAUUUCACUGGCCAAGUAGGAAGGGAUCUUCAGUCCUUCGAAAAAUGAAGAGGAUCAUGCCUUUCUGUUGCAAUUGCUCUUCUGGUUUAAGCAAUCAUUCAGAUGGGUUAAUGCACCAGCUUGUGACAUCUGUGACCGUGAAACAUCUGUGGUUGGAAUGGGAAACCCACUUCCCUCAGAAAUUGAAUUCGGUGCCUCCCGUGUUGAGAUCUAUAGGUGCAACCAUUGUUCGAGCAUCACCCGUUUCCCAAGAUACAAUGAUCCGCAUAAGGUAUGAGUAAGCUGUCCUAGCCUCCUGUGAUCCUGGUAGUGGGUGUGUAUUUUUUAAACCAAGCUGGAAAUUAACAUUUCUCGCUUUUUUGUAAGCUUAUACAAACUAGGAAAGGACGCUGUGGAGAAUGGGCGAAUUGCUUCACAUUCUACUGUCGAGUUUAUGGAUAUGAAGCUCGUUUGAUUCUGGAUUUCACUGAUCAUGUCUGGACAGAAUGUUUUUCAAACCUCUAUGGGAGAUGGAUUCACUUAGAUCCAUGCGAAGGAGUCUAUGAUAAUCCCUUGCUGUAUGAGAAAGGGUGGAACAAGAAAUUAGAUUAUGCAAUUGGUAUCUCAAAAGAUGGAGUACAUGAUAUAACAAAACGCUACACCAGAAAGUGGCAUGAGGUUCUCUCUAGGCGGACCAUUACCUCCGAGGAUACAGUUUCAGCUAUUCUGAUGAAUAUAACUAGAAAGUGUCGCAGUGGAUUGUCAAGUGAUGAACUCCUAGCCUUAGAAAACCGUGACAGGAAAGAGUCCGAGGAACUUAGUAAAGCUACCUAUCUUGAAGUUAACAACAGCAUAUCUCUACCUGGAAGGCAAAGUGGUUCUGUGGAAUGGAGAGCAGCAAGGUCAGAAUUGGGCCAAGCAGACUCACUCAGUUGCUCGUCGUGUCCUAUUCGGAGAUGCGUGGAUGCUCAUGUUUCAAAAAUAUAUGAUGCUCUUUCAGCUAUUCUUUCUCAUUUUUGUGAUAAUAACAUCCCUAAUGAAAGAAUCAUUGAAGUUUUCGUCACAUUGAGGAGCUUGAUGCAAAAUCUUAAAGAUGCCAACUUCAAAAGCAGGAGAGUCACAUUAGAUCAAAAAUUGCAGCAAAUUUUUGAGAUACUUCCCUCUGCUGAAAGAUUGCUUUCUGCUAUUUCUUUAAAAGCAGAGUUACACACUGUUGGAGAUCCAUCCGUGGCUACAGAUGGAAAUCUAAUACAUACGUCCUUAGCAUUACCAGUAGCACUAGAUGCAGUUGAUGAGAUACUAAGUAACUAUAAGAGCAAUAUCUUUUACACAAAAGGUCAUCAAUUCCCAAGAGGCAAUAGACUCUGUUCAGGUUCAGUCCUUGCAAGCAGUGAGCAGCUCCCAAUUGGAAUUGCAACAGCAGCCUUUGACGGCAUUCGCUUGUCCAAAUGGGAAGAACCUGAUGGAGCCAAAGGAUGUUGGCUAAUGUACAAGGUGCAUGGUGGCCAAACUUGCGAGUUGGAGUCAUAUGAUUUGAUGUCAGCUAAUGAUGCUCCUGAGAGGGAUCCAAUGGACUGGGUCCUUGAAGGGAGCACAGACCAAGGUUCUACCUGGAAUACUAUUGAUGCUCGGAGUUCUGUAAUCUUCGGCAGCCGUUUCUGUAGGAAAUCAUUUACUGUUGACAAGAGAUACAAAGCAAAUGUACUUCGGUUUCGGUUUCUACGUGGGAGAGAAUCUAGUGCCAAUCCAAGGUUUCAAAUAGGAUCCAUCGAUUUCUACGGGGAAACACACAUGGCCUGAUCGCAGGUGUUAAUUUGUGUGUACAAAACCCAACAAAACCUUGUUGAAUCAUGCACCUAUCAUGGCCAGUACUACAUGCAACCAAUAAUUGUACUGAUUAUCUUGGAUGAUUGUAAAUUCCGGUUCUACUCUGGAAGAGGUUCCUUUCCUUUC